UUGGAGGGCAAGUCUGGUGCCAGCAGCCGCGGUAAUUCCAGCCCCAAUAGCGUAUAUUAAAGUUGUUGCAGUUAAAAAGCUCGUAGUUGAAUUUCGGGAUCAAUUUAUUGGUCGUGCUAUUGUACGUACUGGUAUUAUUGAUUCCUACCUUCUGACGAACCAUGAUGUCAUUAACUUGGUGUCAUGGGGAAUCAGGACUGUUACUUUGAAAAAAUUAGAGUGUUUAAAGCAGGC
rnacentral:rRNA from 1 species